rnacentral:rRNA from 1 species
CAGCCGCCGCGGUAACACGUAGGGGGCGAGCGUUGUCCGGAUUUAUUGGGCGUAAAGAGCUCGUAGGCUGUUGAGUAAGUCAGCUGUUAAAGCUCCAGGCUCAACCUGGAGAGGCCAGUUGAUACUGCUCUGACUAGAGUCCGGUAGGGGAGUGCGGAAUUCCUGGUGUAGCGGUGGAAUGCGCAGAUAUCAGGAGGAACACCGAUGGCGAAGGCAGCACUCUGGGCCGGUACUGACGCUGAGGAGCGAAAGCGUGGGUAGCAAACAGGAUUAGAUACCCUGGUAGUCCACGCCGUAAACGUUGGGCACUAGGUGUGGGGCCUUAUCAACAGGUUCCGUGCCGUAGCUAACGCAUUAAGUGCCCCGCCUGGGGAGUACGGCCGCAAGGCUAAAACUCAAAGGAAUUGACGGGGGCCCGCACAAGCGGCGGAGCAUGUUGCUUAAUUCGAUGCAACGCGAAGAACCUUACCUGGGUUUGACAUGUAGAGAAAAGCCACAGAGAUGUGGUGUCCUUCGGGGCUCUACACAGGUGGUGCAUGGCC